GAGUAGAGGAAGCGCGCAGCCUAAAGGAGAGGCAGAAGCUGGAGGACUGAGGAGGAGGAUGAAACUGGACUCACCUGACAGCAGCAGCAGCGUUCACUCUCUUUACGGGCCCCGGUGUCAACACAGAAAUAUCAAUCUGGAAAAUUGGUUACGAGUUCAAGUUGAGGAGUUUUCACUUGUGAGUCUGCUCCGUUCCUGAGACAGGUAAGAAACGAGAGUGUGAGUGGGCAGGAUGGGCAAGGACAGCGUUAGAUUUACCUGCUGUGGCUGUGUUUUCGUGCCAUGCCCAUGUGUGUUGGGCAGAGCAGAGAAACACAUGAGGCGCUUUCUGUUUUUGGUCUUUUGUUACCAUUUGGCUUAUUUUUGCAGGAGGUUGCGCAUUAUUUAUCUAACAACACAAGGCGCUUGUUUCUCUGUAAAAUCAGGAAAACAUAACGAUAGGUUUUUAAAUCGUGUUAUUUUUUUUACCAAUUUGUAGAAUAUAAUGUAAUGCUUCAUGGCCCUUUAAUCAUCAUUUAUGGUUUCUUUAAUAUCUUCCACGGAUAAUCCUCGUGAUGGGAAAUACUCUAGUUUUAGAGUAAGUAGGCCAACUCAAAUUAAAAGUGGGGAUUCUUUGCCCCCCCAGAGAGGACCAAAGAGCCAAGGGCCAAAUGAAAGAAUCUUUCAAACCAGCUCAAAACAAAUUCAGAUGUUUCUGAAAGUCAGCUGUUGCUCAUCCAUAAAGUUGAUGCAUGAAAAGAACCAUUUUAUUGCAAACUCGCCUCAGGUUCAUGGUCAUGGCCCUGCUUUGAAGCUACAAUAUUGAUUAUAGGCUAAAAGGUUUCCAUAUUACACAAAAAUGACUCAAAGAAAUCUUUCUUUGUCUGUAUAAUUUGUUCUUAAGAAAAUAGCCCAUCUCUUUGUUUUAAAACAGUAUUUCAGAGCUGUGGUUGUGAAAUAUCACAAAUCAGUAUUUUUGUGUAUUCCCACAAAGUUGACUUUAGUUGUGUUUAACAGAAAUGCUUAAAAACGAUACACAUGCAAAAAAUUUAUUGUUUGGUCUACACCUUAACUAUGUCAAAGCAUCACUGAAUUUAUAGUCCGACUAUUGUUCUGUGAUCAGGAUGAUAUUCUGUAAAGCAAUGUGACCAAAAAAGAUGUAAAAUGUGACCAAAGUAGUAGUCCACUAUAUAGCGUUGUUGCACUGCAAUUAAAACAAUAUUUUCAAAGACAGAUGUAAGCUCUCUCAGAUUGAGAUAUAUUUAGACUAGUUGUAGCUACUUUACCUUAUAAACGUGUAAAAUGUGUAAAUUCUAAGUAUAUCUCUUUCCCCAUAAAACCUUGCCAAAAAUAUCAAUGUAGCCUAUUUUUACAAAAGAUAAAUAGAAGUGAAAAUUAAUGUACAGUUACACCGGAACAUCAGAGUCACCAGGCCUUCACACAAGGCAUAUACAAGCAUCAGUGGCCUAUAUGAGAGCUUGUAUUUAUCUUCAGUCUCUGACACACAUGUCCUAUUACCAAAAAUGUUCAUACUGAAUAUGGCCUAUACGUCCUCUCAUGGUGCACGUGCGGUGUUCGGCUGUAGCUAUCGCUCGUGCUUUUACGCAAAAAAGAGGAAGAAAACAAAAGGACACAAAAGUGUGUGUGCUUUUGAAUGUUAGGUCUACUAAUGUGUCCUUACCUCCUUCUUCAGAUUACGCCGACAUGAUGUCGGCCUACAGCCAAACAGAGCGAGAGGAGGUGUGUUUUUGUCUUUGGUUAUCUAGCUGUAUGAGUGUUAAAUCCCUGUCAUAAAGCUAGAUAACCGAAAGUAAAAAUGACUUCCAGAACGCCACGUUCAUUUCAACAGACUCCUCAGGCUUUUAAGGCAGAUUUUCGGACGUGCCCCUCACACAGGUGAGAACAUGUAUUCCUGCAUUGUGAUUCUCAUCAUCAGUAAGUAGGCCCUCAUUUAAAGUCUGGUCUGGCUUUUAUAAAACGUAAAGUAUGUAGUCUUACUGCUUAAUGAGUCUGCAUCAAUUCCAACGUUUAGCAUUUAAUAUUUUGCUUCAAGUUCUUACGGUUAAUGUUUGUAGAUCUUUUUGGAGUUUUCAUUAUUAUUAAAGAAAAAAUAAUAUAUUUUAGAGCCACAUUAAACGCUUAAUCUUUUUUGCCUAUUUUUUUAAGAGGAAGAAAAUUGAAAUAUAGAAGAAAAGCAGAAGAAAGUAGAAAUGUCUAGUUUUUAUUUUUCUACUAUAUCUUAUCAGGGUUAUUUUUAUAACUAGUUUAAAAAAUUAGGCUUUGUUGUCCAUCUAUGUUAAGUGGAGGGCAAUAAAGGCCAAAACAAAACUACCAAAGUUUCUUUUUUUUUAUCAGCGUCUGUUCAUAUGCUAGAUAGCCAAACUUUUGAAACACUGUUUAAGGUGAGCUUUGCUUUUUAUUAUGAGGGAAAAUCCUGUAGUUAUAGGCAGGCAGCAGUGUAGGGUAAAAAAAAAAAAACAUAGAUUUUGACUUACAAUUGUAGAAAAGCAUCACUAACUAUCCCUGUACACGAUGACAGUGAGCCAGCAUGAGCAUAACACUGAAGCAGCUACAUUUAUCCACCUUGAAUUUUAUUAUUCAAACCCUGCUUUUCCUGUUUUAGAAGCUUUUCAUGCAUGUUUUCAGAAUUUGCUCAAAUGGAAUUUUUCAGGUCUUGAGUUUAUCUACUCAAGUUUUGGAUGAUUGUUAAUUUAAAGUUUAGCAAAUCCUAAAUUUCACUUGUAAGACUGUGUUUAUAGAAGAAAGCAAAGAAAAGCCAAAUCUUUUCCAGGCUUUCAUGUCAUUAAGUUCUCUCAUAAAGCAGUUGAGUGGUGUGUUGCCUUAUACAAACGGUUAAAAAAAACACUUGGUGUCUGUAUUUGAUUCUGUAGUGACUGUUUGGGACACAUUGUGUCUCUGUUCAAAGAGAGGGCUGCCCGGGGCCGUGCUGUAAGACAGGGUCUGAACUUUUAUCCUGGUACUUCAUCUCUGUGCGGCUCGGCCUGUAGAAAGCCACUAAGACCUCAAGAGCACAAAGUGAAAUGAGGUUUCAUUCACCCUCUUAACCACCUUUUGCUGCGAAACUGAUUGUCAAACCAGGCUAAUUGCUUCAUUUCACAGGGAGAUAUUGGAUAUGUGAAAAGGCCGCGGUACAAGUCUGUACCCGAGCAUUGCCUUUAAAAGGUGGCAUUUCACUAUGGCGUCCCCCCUUUAAUGAAUAGCAGAAAAAAAUAAGAGGAUAUUUAUGAGAUGGUCCAAAGUCCUCUUUAUUUCAGCAGGUAUACAACCAUAAACACACUCAUUCACACAAAAACGCAACUCUAUGUCAUGAGGUAAUCAAAAGAACUCAUAACUUUGAACACUACGAGUUUCUGUGCCCAUUGCAUGCUGCUGGUUUGAAGAAAAGAUGCUAAGUAAGAUUGUCAAAAUGAGGAGGAUUUGUUUUUGUAAACUCACACUUCAAUUUUCUGUUUUCUUUCCCACAGUUUGUUUCGUAACAGGCUUUCAAUCUGGGAUUCCUGAAAAGAUGUUUCAACCACCGUUUAAAGAAAACACUGAAGGAAACGGAUGGAUUCCCUCUCUUCUCCCCACCCUCUUCUCCUCACCCUUCAUGCCCAAGAGCCUCUAAUGCCAUCUGCACUGCCAACGGGGGGGAUGCCCUACCCGUGCCAAGAGGCGGACAAAGACCCCACCGGAUCCUGCGAAUAUAGGCGUGCUUACAGGAGCCAUCUUGGGAGAGAUGUUGUUUCGACACCUAAAAUGGCUGGGGCUAGCACGCGAGGUGAGCUGCAUCAUGUUUUUUUUUUUUUUUUUCUUUUGGUUACCAGUCGUGUUGGUUCUUGUGGGCAAGAGGUGGGUGAGAUAGUGUGUGUGUGUGCGAUAAUGGGGGAUGGGGGCAAGAGAAAGGAUGAGAGAAUGAAGAAGAGUUUCCCAUUUCCUCCUCCUCCACUCACGCAUGGCCUCUCCCUUCUCUCCUCCAUCUCCUGCUCCUGCUAAUUAGCAGUUAAGGGAUGAUGUGAGGGGGGGAGUGGGUGGUGGGUAAGAAAGGAAGGUUGUGGUUGGCGGUGGGAAAGAGGGGGUUGGGGGUGGUAAGUGGGGCUGGGUAGCAAACAAAUUAAUGAGCUGGCACCGGUUGAAGGAAACCUGCCACCCUCUCUAGUCAUGGCGCUUCUUUACUCUCCGAUGCACACCAGGCCAAAGUGAACGUCCUGUUUCCGCUGGGCAAACCACAAACAUGAAUUCACGAAAAAAUGCUUUUGUUGUUAAGAACAUCUAACGAUGUAAAGCGUCGGUGCCCGAGCACUCUUAAUGCACUGAGCACCUCAGGUGAAAUGUGUUGAAAAGAAAUGGGGGUUGGUGGGGGAUACCCAGAAGAUUUCCUUUUUGGGGAGUCACAUAACUGCUGUAAAUGGUACAGCUGUUACAGUCUAAGAGUCAAUACAGUUGCGAAUUUUUUAACGUGGAUUUACUCCCUAUGCUAGAUGUUGCUGAUUUUGCCUUUAAAAUAUUCAGAAGUUAUGCAUGUCAGAACAUUACCAAGGUCCCAGGUUGAAAUGACACUUAAAAGACAGUUCAUGUAUGGGAUUACAAAUCUUCUCAAGUAUUUAUAUUUAUAUUGAAAACCACUCUCUCUAUACAGAAAAACACUUUCCUUAAAACAAUGCACACAUAUUGCAGAUCACAUUUAGAACCAUGCACAUAGAAUGGACACAAGACGUCACUGGUGUGAAAAUAUCACCUUUACCAGAUCUAACAAGGUCAAAAAUAUCCCUCAAUUAACCCCUACAGCCUCUCUUUCCUCACUCCCACUCUCUCACACCAAGAGUGUGUUAAUAGAUUCUGAGACUCUCCUGAUCAUGGCAUCAAACCUCUCUCUCUGUACCCCUCUGUAACCUCUUGCAGGGACCUAAAGCAGAAAAGUGCGACACAUGAGUGUGUGUGUUCAGGGCCACCAUGUGCAGCUGCACUGCUUGUGUGUUAAUGAACAGUGCCGUGCAUUUUCAAAUUAUCAUUCAGCCCUACUCUCACUCUCUCUCUCUGUCUCCCCCCUCAAUAGCUGUUUACCCCCUCCACCCCUGCUCCCCUUGGUAAAGGCCUGCUUUCCCACCAUUGUGGGAGCGGGUGCUGCGGCAGUCUUUGGCUGGGGGGCAGGGUGGGAAAGAGCCUCCAGACUAGACAUGAGCAGAUGCCUGAGACAUUAGACUGUCGUGCGGAUCACCGGGUCGGGUGAGCCGCUGAGUCUUAAUGUGUGUGCAAGUGUAUGCAUGUUUGAUAUGUGUGUGUGAUGGGGGGUAGUAGUCUGGGCCAUGCUGUGCCACCUGACUGUUCAUUAGUCUAUUCAGCCUCCUCUGCAUGUCUGAGAUGCAUGGAGAUGCUUUUUUCUGCCAAGAGGGAAGGAUUUCACUGGCAUUAGACAUGCAAACAUACAUGAUAUGCAGAUGGGUGCAUACGCUUAGGCCUACACCAUGAGGCAUGGGAAAUUAAGGGUACAAGAGGUGAAGUGUGUCGAGAUUUUCUCUCACAUUUUCACACAAAGCUUAGCUGCUGGUUGGGAUUCCUCUUUAGUGCAAACAACAUCUUGACACAUCUGUACUGGACAUCAUCGAAACCUCACAGGACAGUUAGCAUGUCACCGAGGAGGAUGACUCAGCUGAGGCGAUGGGUGUGCCUAACAAGCAGAAUGAUGUAACCUGCUGUAAUGAUUAUUAAUGAGCCGUAUACUGUACGUAUUCCUGAUAUGUAAGGCGUGCGCAGCCCACACAUCAAAAGAUGAUUCCCCCUCCAUAUUCGAAUGAAAGACUCAGAGCUGUCUCUGUAAUUGCAUUUGCACUUCUCAUCUGUGAUAUACAGUGCAUUGCUUAGGGCAGAUAUGACAGGAGAGAGAAGCGAAGGUGAGGAAUUAAUCUUGAAGAUACUGUAGCUUGCUCCAUGCUACGCCUCUAAUGCAAGAAUCCAGAGUAGGUUAAAAAAAAACAGAGGAGAAGAGGGACAGAUUGAUGAAAUGGAUGCGAUUGAAAAUUAAAGGAUAAGCCUUGCAUAUCAGGAAAGGUUUAGGGUGAAAUGCGUGUAGGAAGCAGCAGAGGAGGCAGGUGUAGCACAUGGGCAGCCAUGUUUGAGCCACCAGUGAGCCACCUCUGCUUUUGCUGAUAAAGUUAGCUUGUGCUAGCUUGUGCAGUGCAAAGCAAUUUGCAGCAGCGAGAACGUGGGCACGGGAGACUGCUGUGUGCACGCAUAUGUGUGUGGGUCUGCUUAUUUGUAAGUGAGGCAGUUAGACGUGAGGUUGGUAUGAAGUUGCAGCAGUGGACAGACAGCAUGGUCAGAGAAGGAGGGAGGUUGUGACUGUGAGGAGCGGCUUUUGGGGGGAUUACACCAGCAUACACAAAGAGCACCACGAGAUUAUCCACCAGAGUAAUGAUUUCUGAUUCUGACUAAUUGCAACACACAAGUUUGGUUUAUACUAAAGAUAUAUAUUUAUCUUGAUCCAAACAUUUUGUUAUGCCCUACAGAGACUAAAGUAAAACAGUUUUAAUCUGCUCUGAAAUAAAGACAAUUCUCAAUCCAGGUUGUCUGAAACCAGAGCGUCUGACUGGCGAGGUCAGCAGCUUUGACUCGGUGUUGGAAGGAUUUAAGAUGUGAAUUCCUCUGACUCUUCUUUGCACACUAUAGAGAUACACUGACUUUAAUAUUCAUCCUUCAGUUCCUUCUUAGGCUGUACUAAAAAAUGGACAGAAAAAUGAAUUUCCCCUCCAGAAAAAUGGCAGAAUCUAGAUGAUUACCCUCCCUUCCUUUCAUCCCUUCUCUUCUUUCACUGUUAUUUAUUAUUAAAUAUGUACUACUUUUUUUUUUUUCACAUGGGGUCUUUAGAGGUGGGAAAUUAUAUGUGUGACAUGAUGAAGCAUCAGAAGCCAUUCUCACUUCCACCUCAGUGCUGCUAAAGCAGUGUAGCCAUAGUCGUGAUGAAAUGUUAAUACCAUAUAGCUCCUGGGUUACCUCUCUGGAUUCUCCUCACUAUGUGUGGACACCAUGAAUGUUUUAACGGCUCUUCUGUGAAAUAUAAAGCCCGACUCACGGGCAGCCCAGAGUCUUGGACGAGGUCCAAUGUGGGUCAAGCGAGGCUCAUCUGGGUUUUUUUUAAUGCAACUUUGGCCGAGACUAAUCUAGCACAAAGCCUGACAUUAAGUAUCUUAGAGGAAGAUGGAGAGAAGUUUCUACAUCCAAGGCUUUGCAGAUUACGUCCGUUGGCUGUGGCGUCCCUAUGUGGGGGUCCUGUGUGCUCCAAUGAAAGUAGAGGAGAAUUAGGUGACUGAGCCUUUAAUACAGCGGCCCUUUGUAAUCACAUCAAGAGAAAAUGAGGUGCUAGGGUGGAGAGAAUUAAAGGGGAAUCCUUGAUAUGACCUCAUAUGUUUUACUGUUUGUGCAUUCUUAGGUGAUGAAGUCUGAAUUUAUCCAAAUUAACUGACAAAAAUGAUCUUAUGCUAAUCUUUCCUCACUAAGCAUGUGUGUUUGGUACUUUUUGACUAACAGGUUAAAACAUCUGCACUUUUUCGAUGCAGUUAGAUGAUGCUCAUUCAACUAUCGGCUACAUUAAGAUUAAUUGUUGCUGCUUCAAAGAUGAAAAAAGAAGCUUUUUAGGAGCAGGUUUCACCUUGUAUCGAGUAAAACUUGAAAAAUAGCAGAUUGACACAGACUAUGAAUAAGAGCUGAUGUGCUCUUUUAUAUUUCUUUCUUCAUUAGUUUUUUACAUCCUGAUUGCAGUAUUUUACAAUGCUGCCACACACUGCAGGUUUUUUUCUCCUGUCGUGCAGACAGUGUGUGUCUAGCAUCAGAUGGUUGAACUCCGUCACUCAGAACUCAAGUCAAGUUCAAGUUCAUAGGUGCAGCUUCUCCGUCUGUGGAGUGAAGAGAGUCUGUGGCCACCCUGGUGUUUAACAGAAGAGGGAGGCGGGUGGUGGUGGGUGUAUAGUUGGUGCAUGGGGGGUACAUAGCCUUUGACCUCUGCGAGGGUUGCUAUGGGAAAGAGGCCCAGUCGGCUCAGUAAUGUAAGUCUGAAAAGGCCGAACUGUCAGAGCUGUCCAGCAGACGUCAACCCCCCACCACACACACACACACACACACAAACUAUAUCCAGCCCAGUCACACACACUCACAGAUGGCACGGGCCAGCUUGGGAAUGUUAGCUGCUUUCUGUUCAUCAGACGCUGUGAUAAUUCAUCACAGUGCUGCUCCUGCUCCACAUUGUUGGACCUCUUCUUUUGCCUUAUCAAAGCUGUGUGAGUGUGUGUGUGUGUGUUUAGACCUACUCAUUUAAUCAAACAUCAAAUACCAUUACUGUGGUUAAAAUAUCACUCUUGACUUGUUUUCUUUCCGCAGUUGUAUAAGUAACAAACUGCCAAAAUAAAAAGCUUUCAAACUAUCAUGUAACUGGAGUGUUUCAACCAAAAAUCAGCAGUGAUUAAAGGCAUUUUGCUUGAAUCCACAACCACGUUUCUGCUUUAUCAAGUGCAGUACAGCACACAAUGGAUUUUCACGAUUGGUCAGAUCAUUUUCAUGAAGUUCACAUGAGAAGUUCAUGUUUUUGUGGAAAAAAUUUCAGAAAUUAUGCUCUGCACAGAUUACUUAAUGUGAUAAAUAUAUAAAUAAAGUGCUUACCUAACAUUAGAACAGCCUAAAUUAAACAGUAAUGUACUGUUUGGGAACAGAAAGUGACUAAAUCGGUCCACCCAUCCAACUGAACUAUUAUUCAUGUUAUGUUCCCCCCCUAAAAAACAACAACAAUAACAAAAAAUAAUCAGUGACAGCAGUAUUAAAGCUUUCGUUCUAAUAUUUCUGUCCCCUCUCCUUGAAAUAAGCAGUGCCCAAUAUUUGAGUGACUGCAUGUCAGUGAGGGCAUGGAAAUCCACUGAUUGUAAUAUGUGCGUGUUUCCUUGCCCCCUCUGUAACCAUGUGCAAGUGUGUCCUCAUUUAAGGCUGCAUUCAUCCAGGGGAGGGGUCUGAGGAAGAAAAGAGAGUGUAUUUGCAUACGCUGCAUGCCGUCUGCAGAGAGGGAGCAGUCAAAAAAAGAUGUCAGAGGUGCACAAAGAGAACGAGGACAAAUCCUUCAUUGUGGGCUCGGUGGGAGAAAAGGGCUCGUCUGAAUUGGGGAGUGGGCGAAAAUUGACAGAGAAAGAGUUGGGGCUGGUUCCCUGCGGGGAUAAAAGCCUUGAGAUCCCUCCGUACAUACUGCCUGAAAAUGGGAGAGGAGAACAACACGCAGAGCACAGGGGCCUAUUUUUUACACGGCAUGAAAAGGAAGUUUGUUUUUCUGAAACACUGCCUGCAAUUUGUGAUGUGCAAAACUAAAUAUCACACUCAAAACAAACGCCGUAUUGCAGAGUCACCACAGUACCAGCUUUGCAGAGUCAUUAACACAUUAAGAAUACUCUCGUCUGAAAAUGCUCCCAAGGCUUCUCCAUGAGCACUUUUAUGUUUACCUUUGUUAUGUGUUAGUUUACCCUGUAGCCCUUUGUUCCAUUUAAUAGGCAUAUGCUUUAUCAAGUACCUAUUAUUAUUUGCAAGAUCCGAAAAGUGAAUUUAAAGUUUUAAACAGGGCUUGUUAUGUACAGAUUCUUUAUGAAAAAGUUACUUACCUUUAUGAACACAAUUAUAAUCAGAUAUAUCAUGAACAAUCUUUCCUUUUUGUUUCUUUGCCCCAAGUGCAAAUAUGAGUCAACUUCUGUCCAUGCAGGGUAAAAAUUCACAUGUGGUGCUAAUGGUUCCCUCCAUCAUUUCUCCCCAGGAUGGACAGGAUCUGCAAACCCAUUAUGGAAGAGCCUGAAGGCAUGAGGAGAACCAGAACCAAACUCACGCAAGAUUCCUCCACACAGAACAUCAGCUCAAGACGUCAGAGACAGUUGUAAAAGGACUGUAAACAGACAUCUGAAUGGAGCCUGUGAUGUCUUAGAUAAUAUCUGUAAAUGGUGCAGAUUUAAUGAUAGGAUAGCACGCUUUUAUACUUUGUCAUAAUACAGUUUUAAUGACAAAGUGUGCAUUUUUCAUUUACAGUAUGGUAUUUUAAGUUUAAGUUACUUUUAAUCCAUGCUUUUUUAAGCUGUUUUGAUUGGUUUUCUACUGAUUUGUAUUCUAUCUAUUGCUCUUAUUUGUGUCAAGUGAAAUAACUGAUACUGUAAUGCUCAUAAAAUAAAUGAGUCACUGUUGUAAGCUCCUGUAAAUGACACAUCUUUAAAAUAAAAAUGAGAAAUAAAAUAAAAUCACUGUCUUGUUGGCAAGUUAUUACAAUAUUUGAUUUUGGUAAAUUAACAGGGAACUGUAUUUUUUUUUUAACACUUAACUAAUACAUAAUUAAAUCAAAAUUAACCCAAUGAAAGAAUUUAGGUGUUCUUUUUUUCAGAGCACUCAAAACUGUAGACCUAAAAUUUGUCCAAAGUAGACAGAUCAGACCUGCUGAAUCCCUUUUUUUUAUUCACGUGGUCGUGUGUGUGUGUUUGUGUUUGAAUGUGUGAGGAUAGUGUGGGUACAGGUCUGAGUGACCCUGCAUUAAAUUUAAUUAGGAGGAGCAGACAAAGAGACGUGUGCUGAAUCAGUGUGAGGGGAAAAAAGUUCACCAGCCACUAAACUCAGCCAAAAAAAAGAGCCUGUCUUAAAUUAAAAUAUGUAGGCUAAUCAGCUUUAUUCCUUCUCCUCAUGUUUUAUUUAGUCUAUCAGGAGAAUGUGAACUAAUUAUCUUUUAAAGAAACACAGGCCUACACAGAUUCUUCCCACUGCAUGGCGACUCAUUUCAAGGCCUAAUCUUAAAAAUUAAAGCUAUAUCCAGAAUCUGGAUUAAAAAAACGUCUCAAUUUAAUGUAGGUUGUUUUUUUACACGUAAUGAAUACAUCCCUGACCACCAUGCAGCGCACACUUUUGUCGAUUAAUCGGGUUUGGGGGGGAUUACACGCCGUCCUGGUGUUGGUCAGAGCUCAAUCAGUGUCCGCCUGAUCUGUGUCCGGAGUCAAACAACAGAUGGACACGCGCGGGGUCAACAGGGGAUUAUUUCGGUCUCUAAACGCUUUGUGGAAACAAACAAAAACGCUUUAAAGUGACAGGGGAAAAAAACACACGCAAGUGUCCGUUUAUAACAAAGGAGUACAGAGUUGAAUCUUUUUUUCCGUGGAAAUGAGGAAGGUUUUAUGAAGUAUGAACAGUAAAAUAAUAAUUAUAUUAAUGUAACACUAACGCCCCAUGUUUUCAAGUUUUGUCGCGAGAAUUUUUCCUUUUAAAAAUGGCUCUAAAUGUAUGUAUAUGAAUCACUUAACACUGAGUGUGUAUUUAGGCUAAACUGAUUAUUAAGGCCUUUUCAAUGUUAUACAAUUAAAGCUAUUCUGGCUAUUGCAUAACCUGCAUUGAUCCCAUAUGAAGCACACAGGCCUGUGUAUAAAGCAUCAGAGCAUCUUCAUUCCAUUCUAGGAGAGAAAUUGAUCGCCAUGCAGGAAAAAACUGGUGUCAGAUCAGCAAAAGUAGGAAAGCAGGUGCAUUCAAUGCUCUAAAAAAACACAAUUUCUUAUACAAAGAGUGUCUAGAUGUGUAAACAUUUAAAUGAAGUAGAAAAAAAAACUAAGUGUUCAAGGUAACUUUAUCAAUACUCGUACGUAGGUUUGUUUUGCAGUCUCGAAAGAGGCAUUUAUGCACAAGCAUUAAAAACACAGGACACAUGCAGCAGACCAAAGACAUUGACAGCUACUCCCACUGAUCGUGGUCAAGAGACUAAAAUAAAUAAAUAAAAUAAACAAAAUAAAAAAAAGUCGUUGGAUAUCACUAAAAUGCCAGUAUGACCCUGUUAAGAGCAUGCUAAAAACAUAAAAACAUAAUACGAAGGACAGUAACUACUAAUGAAUAAAAUAAUCAAUCAAAUAAAUAAGUUAAGUGAAUGUUUUUUCUAGUAGAAAUAAACAAGUGAAUAAGUGAUAAAAAUUAAUGUAAGUUUAUUUUCAGAUACAAUGAGAAGAGCGUUAUAAUCAUUGAGGAGUGUGAACAGCACUUUUAAAACAGUUUGUUAACAUCUACACUAAAAUCAUACCAUUGGAGAUUUCAUGGUGGCUCAUGUAAGAGUCAGCAUGUCUUCAAUCCAUCCAAACCACAGCAGCUGAUCCUAGUGAUUAGUUCCCCUCUGUGGAUGAAUAGAAACCAAUUAGUGAAAUCAGCCUCUGCAGAAGUUGACUUUAAAAUAAGACCAAAUCAUUCCUACAAGACUGUGAUUUCAUCAUUUUUAAAGAGCACCACAUACUGCAGAGAUGCUCUGUAAUGGUGUGUUUUAGUUUUUUGUUAGUAUGCAGGUGUUAAAAAGCUGCAGAAACGCUCAGCUCAGAAUAUUUCUUUUUGAUGAGCUUCAGCCGGUCAGGGACCUGUUGGGUAUAGGUCCCUGCAGGUCAGCAUGGGUCAAAGGGUCACAAUGUGGACAGUCCCCCAGAGGGCAAUAAUCAUGCUGGAAGGUGGUUAAGGUCAGGAGCCAUCUGAGAAGGGGCCAAAGGUCAAGGGCAGCUAAUUAAGUGGCUAUAUCCGACUACUCUCUUGUGACUGCCGGACCAAGAGAUGGACAGGAAAAGGCAUGACGAAGUCUAUUCAGAGCAAGUUAAUAAAACCCACAGACAAGUUAAAAUUAAUGACUGGAACAACAGAUAAUCAAAGCCGGAAAACCACAGCAUCAUGUCAUUACAGGCUUUCACAGAAGACCAAAAAUCUACAAUCAAACAUUUAUUUUACUGAAGUAGUCUGAACAAACCGUUUCGAUUUUAGAAAAAAUAUCUUUUUAUGCUUGAGUUUGAUGUUUUUAACCUAAUUUAAACUCUGAAAGAAGGUGUAAAUAAUCACCCUGAGGAGUUGCACUUGAAUGAGCUCACAUAAAAGCAGAUUUUCUCCUCUUAAAAAAACGAGGAACAGAGAGGAAGGACAUCAGGGCCCUGGUUGAGGAAUCCAAACAUUUUGGAGGGAAAGUCGCUGGAAGCUGUUUAUGCCUUUCUAGCCUCUGAAUGGGCCUAUGUGCGUGAUUCUUAGCAUAAGAAUGGAGAUGGGGCCUGUGAACUCCUCUGACACUGACCUUUCUCCCAGGAUGUGAAUAGUAUCACUCGAGAGCUGCUCAGCACCCUUUCAGUCCGGACCUGAGCCCUGCCCUUGCCUAAACUCCUAAUCAGGCUGAUUUAAUGUGUCCUAAAAGUCUUUCCUCCUCGGAGCUCACACAACACAACACACAGCACACAACACACAGCUCUGCGGCUUCAGAGGAGUCUCCAUCUGAACUUGAGGCUAACACACUCUAUACAGCGCUGCCUCUGGGCCCCCCUGCGCUUUGGGAAGUUAGAGGAGCUGGUUUGAAACAACAGGAGGCCCGCCC